rnacentral:rRNA from 1 species
GAUGAACGCUGGCGGCGUGCCUAAUACAUGCAAGUCGAGCGAACGGACGAGAAGCUUGCUUCUCUGAUGUUAGCGGCGGACGGGUGAGUAACACGUGGAUAACCUACCUAUAAGACUGGGAUAACUUCGGGAAACCGGAGCUAAUACCGGAUAAUAUUUUGAACCGCAUGGUUCAAAAGUGAAAGACGGUCUUGCUGUCACUUAUAGAUGGAUCCGCGCUGCAUUAGCUAGUUGGUAAGGUAACGGCUUACCAAGGCAACGAUGCAUAGCCGACCUGAGAGGGUGAUCGGCCACACUGGAACUGAGACACGGUCCAGACUCCUACGGGAGGCAGCAGUAGGGAAUCUUCCGCAAUGGGCGAAAGCCUGACGGAGCAACGCCGCGGGAGUGAUGAAGGUCUUCGGAUCGUAAAACUCUGUUAUUAGGGAAGAACAUAUGUGUAAGUAACUGUGCACAUCUUGACGGUACCUAAUCAGAAAGCCACGGCUAACUACGUGCCAGCAGCCGCGGUAAUACGUAGGUGGCAAGCGUUAUCCGGAAUUAUUGGGCGUAAAGCGCGCGUAGGCGGUUUUUUAAGUCUGAUGUGAAAGCCCACGGCUCAACCGUGGAGGGUCAUUGGAAACUGGAAAACUUGAGUGCAGAAGAGGAAAGUGGAAUUCCAUGUGUAGCGGUGAAAUGCGCAGAGAUAUGGAGGAACACCAGUGGCGAAGGCGACUUUCUGGUCUGUAACUGACGCUGAUGUGCGAAAGCGUGGGGAUCAAACAGGAUUAGAUACCCUGGUAGUCCACGCCGUAAACGAUGAGUGCUAAGUGUUAGGGGGUUUCCGCCCCUUAGUGCUGCAGCUAACGCAUUAAGCACUCCGCCUGGGGAGUACGACCGCAAGGUUGAAACUCAAAGGAAUUGACGGGGACCCGCACAAGCGGUGGAGCAUGUGGUUUAAUUCGAAGCAACGCGAAGAACCUUACCAAAUCUUGACAUCCUUUGACAACUCUAGAGAUAGAGCCUUCCCCUUCGGGGGACAAAGUGACAGGUGGUGCAUGGUUGUCGUCAGCUCGUGUCGUGAGAUGUUGGGUUAAGUCCCGCAACGAGCGCAACCCUUAAGCUUAGUUGCCAUCAUUAAGUUGGGCACUCUAAGUUGACUGCCGGUGACAAACCGGAGGAAGGUGGGGAUGACGUCAAAUCAUCAUGCCCCUUAUGAUUUGGGCUACACACGUGCUACAAUGGACAAUACAAAGGGCAGCGAAACCGCGAGGUCAAGCAAAUCCCAUAAAGUUGUUCUCAGUUCGGAUUGUAGUCUGCAACUCGACUACAUGAAGCUGGAAUCGCUAGUAAUCGUAGAUCAGCAUGCUACGGUGAAUACGUUCCCGGGUCU